rnacentral:lncRNA from 1 species
CCCCGCCCCUUUGGCUGCUGGAGGCCGGAGCAGGCAAGUGGUUGAACUAUGCAUGACGCACAGACUGGCACAGAGUGACUUGGCUAAUGAAUUAGUUGCCUUCACUACAACUAAAGAAGACGGGUCUCGUCUCACUGUAGAGAUCCUGAAUGUCUUUGAACAUGAAGUACUCAACAAAAGAGUUAAUAAAACUCAUCAAAAAAAGGACAACAGAUACUCUGGAAUCAAGGAUAUCAACACCAUUCAGG